GAGCGGGCUCUGCGGCGCUGGGGCCCGAGGGGCGCGGGGGGCGCUGGGCUCCGGCGUCCCCUCUUCUGCUCACCGGAUCUCUGCGGCCGCCCAGUGCCAUCGCCCCACCCCGCAGCGCCGCCGCCUGCGGGCUCGCCCCCAGCUCCUAGCGACAGACGCCCACCCCUCGGACGCUCCCCACCCCAGCCUAGCCGGGAGGAAGGACAAGCCAGGCCUGGGGUCAGGACGGAGACCGCGGGGACCACAGUGCAGAUCCGUGCUGGGUGAGGCGCGGGCCUUAGAGCGGAGCCUUGAAGGCACCGACAGGCAGACAGAACAAUCUUUCCUCAGCACAAUCCUGGGAGAGGAAGGCCUAAAGCACUACAGUCUACAGCAUGGAGGCUUUGGUGCCUGGAAAAGACACCUGUGUAAGAAUUCUCUUCAAAGACUUCUCUCUGUCGGCCAGCCCUUCCAUUCUAGAAUCAACAUGAAAAUUAUUAAUGAGAGGUUUUAGGCCCUUUUCUCUGUCCACACUGAGCCACUGGAACCAUCUCCACGUGGGGGGGACCACACUCCUGGGCGACAGGGGCCUGCGCUGCCCUCCUGGGCCGGGACAGACCUGGACACCCGCAGACAUGUGCAGAGAUGUACUGAAGGUUUGUGCACGUCGAGUUCGUUAAGCCUCAAUUUUAAAAAAAGGAAGAGAUCCCAGUGAGCUGUGAUUGCACCACUGCCCUCCAGCCUGGGCGGCAGAGCGAGACUCUGUCUCUAAAAAUAAAUAAAUAAUAAAAUUUAAAUUUAAAAUAUGUUUAGAAAGGAAGAAAGAAAACUAAAAGGAAAUCAAUCUCUGUGUGAUUGUGACCUGGAGCCAGGGGAGGUGUGGGCACCAGGCGGGGUCUCCCCGGACCUAGGGGAGCCUCUCUCUGGCAAGCAGAGCGGGGCGAUGGGAGGAUCCACA
rnacentral:lncRNA from 1 species